CCUACGGUCGGCAGCAGUGGGGAAUAUUGCACAAUGGGGGAAACCCUGAUGCAGCGACGCCGCGUGAGUGAAGAAGUAUUUCGGUAUGUAAAGCCCUAUCAGCCGGGAAGAAAAUGACGGUACGUGAUUAAGAAGCCCCGGCUAACUACGUGCCAGCAGCCGCGGUAAUACGUCGGGGGCACGCGUUAUCCGGAUUUACUGGGGGUAAAGGGAGCGUAGGCGGCAGCACAAGUCUGGAGUGAAAUGCCGGGGCUUAACCCCGGAACUGCUUUGGAAACUGUGCAGCUAGAGUGCAGGAGAGGUAAGUGGAAUUCGGAGUGUAGCGGUGAAAUGCGUAGAUAUUAGGAGGAACACCAGUGGCGAAGGCGGCUUACUGGACUGUAACUGACGUUGAGGCUCGAAAGCGUGGGGAGCAAACAGGAUUAGAUACCCGAGUAGUC
rnacentral:rRNA from 1 species